UGGGGAAUAUUGCACAAUGGGCGCAAGCCUGAUGCAGCCAUGCCGCGUGUAUGAAGAAGGCCUUCGGGUUGUAAAGUACUUUCAGCGGGGAGGAAGGGAGUAAAGUUAAUACCUUUGCUCAUUGACGUCACCCCGCAGAAGAAGCACCGGCUAACUCCGUGCCAGCGGCCGCGGUAAUACGUAGGUGGCAAGCGUUGUCCGGAAUUACUGGGCGUAAAGCGCACGCAGGCGGUUUGUUAAGUCAGAUGUGAAAUCCCCGGGCUCAACCUGGGAACUGCAUCUGAUACUGGCAAGCUUGAGUCUCGUAGAGGGGGGUAGAAUUCCAGGUGUAGCGGUGAAAUGCGUAGAGAUCUGGAGGAAUACCGGUGGCGAAGGCGGCCCCCUGGACGAAGACUGACGCUCAGGUGCGAAAGCGUGGGGAGCAAACAG
rnacentral:rRNA from 1 species